rnacentral:lncRNA from 1 species
GUGGCUGCAGGAAGGAACAGCACCAUUGUGACAAAAUUCAUCCUCCUGGGAUUUUCAGGGCAGCCUGAAAUGAAGAUUUUUCUUUUUGCAUUAUUUCUGGGCAUUUACCUCCUGACCCUCGCCUGGAACCCGAGCCUCAUCGCCCUCGUCAGGAUGGACUCCACCUGCACACGCCCGUGGCCGUCUUCCUCAGUAACCUGUCCUUCCUGGAUGUCUGUAUGUGUCCUCCACAGCCGCCAAGACGCUCUCUGACAUCAUCCCGGAGCGGAAAACCGUCUCCUCGGUGGGCUGUGCCGUGCAGUGCUUAGUCUUCUGCGGGCUGGGGCUGGCUGCCUGCUUCCUGUUGGCGGCCAUGGCACUUGAUCGCGGUGCUGCGAUGUGCAGCCCGCUGCCCUACACGGUCCUCGUAUCUCACACCCUUUGUUUAAAGAAGGCAGCCGGAGCCUACUUGGGUGGGUUCCUCAGUUCUUUGAUUGACACCUGCUCCGUCUAUCAGCACGAUUUCUGUGGGCCCAACGUGAUCAACCACCUCUUCUGUGACCUUCCUCCAGUCCUGGUUCCAUCUUGCUGAUACUUUUGCCAGCCGGGUGGUGACCUUCCUCAUGGGUGUGGGUGUUGGGGUGCUGUCUGUCCUUGUGAUCCUCAUCUUUUAUGGUUGCAUUGCUGCUGCUGUCCUAUCAGGUCAGCUAGAGGGAGGACCAAGGCCUUCAGCACCUGUGCCUCUCAUCUGACUGCUGGGACCCUCUUCUAUGGUUCUGGUCUCUUCAUGUACAUGCGACCUAGUUCCAGCUACUCCCUGGACCAGGACAAGGUGGUGUCCAUAGUCUCUGCUCUGGUGAUUCCUAUGAUAAAUCCCAUCAUCUACAGUCUUAGGAACAAGGACAUUAAAAAUGCCAUGAGGAAAGCUGUGCAAAGGGAUUAUGUAAUUUUUCAUGGG